rnacentral:rRNA from 1 species
GGAGGAAAGUAGGGGAUCGCAAGACCUUGCGCUUUUGGAGCGGCCGAUGUCUGAUUAGCUAGUUGGUGAGGUAAAGGCUUACCAAGGCGUCGAUCAGUAGCUGGUCUGAGAGGACGACCAGCCACACUGGGACUGAGACACGGCCCAGACUCUACGGGAGGCAGCAGUGGGGAAUUUUGGACAAUGGGGGAAACCCUGAUCCAGCCAUGCCGCGUGAGUGAAGAAGGCUUCGGGUUAAAGCUCUUUCAGCCGGAACGAAACGGUCACGGUUAAUACCCGUGACUACUGACGGUACCGGAAGAAGAAGCACCGGCUAACUACGUGCCAGCAGCCGCGGUAAUACGUAGGGUGCGAGCGUUAAUCGGAAUUACUGGGCGUAAAGCGUGCGCAGGCGGUUUUGUAAGUCAGAUGUGAAAUCCCCGGGCUUAACCUGGGAUGCGUUUGAAACUACAAGGCUAGAGUGUGGCAGAGGGGGGAAUUCCACGUGUAGCAGUGAAAUGCGUAGAGAUGUGGAGAA